rnacentral:rRNA from 1 species
UCGGGAAUUUUGGGCAAUGGGCGAAAGCCUGACCCAGCAACGCCGCGUGAAGGAUGAAGUAUUUCGGUAUGUAAACUUCGAAAGAAUAGGAAGAAUAAAUGACGGUACUAUUUAUAAGGUCCGGCUAACUACGUGCCAGCAGCCGCGGUAAUACGUAGGGACCAAGCGUUGUUCGGAUUUACUGGGCGUAAAGGGCGCGUAGGCGGCAAUUCAAGUCAUCUGUGAAAUCUCCGGGCUUAACCCGGAACGGUCAGAUGAUACUGCUUUGCUAGAGUGCAGAAGGGGCAAUCGGAAUUCUUGGUGUAGCGGUGAAAUGCGUAGAUAUCAAGAGGAACACCUGAGGUGAAGACGGGUUGCUGGGCUGACACUGACGCUGAGACGCGAAAGCGUGGGGAGCAAACAGGAUUAGAUACCCUUGUAGUCCCUGAGCGGGCUGGCAAGGCGCAU